UCCCCUACGGGACGCAGCAGUGGGGGAUAUUGCACAAUGGGGGAAACCCUGAUGCAGCGACGCCGCGUGGGUGAAGAAGCGCCUCGGCGCGUAAAGCCCUGUCAGCAGGGAAGAAAAUGACGGUACCUGAAGAAGAAGCCCCGGCUAACUACGUGCCAGCAGCCGCGGUAAUACGUAGGGGGCAAGCGUUAUCCGGAUUUACUGGGUGUAAAGGGAGCGUAGACGGCAUAGCAAGUCUGAGGUGAAAGCCCGUGGCUCAACCGCGGAACUGCUUUGGAAGCUGUUAAGCUGGAGUACUGGAGAGG
rnacentral:rRNA from 1 species